UCCAGGUCGGGUCCAGUCUGGAUCAGGAAGUGCUUGGGACCAGCUGCAGUGUGGAUGGGCCGUGCCCUUGGAGAAGGCUGAGGACAUCGUUUGGGACCAGCUUUUCUUCCAGCAGGGGAGGGCGUGAGCCAGGCUCUGCAGGUGCUGACUGCAUGACUGAUAAAAUUACAUCAUCCCAUUGGGAGAAGCUCCACCCAGGGGAUGGAGCCUAGCAUUCCUUCCUGGAUGUAAUCUGACAGUUGGAACACCACAGCACCUUUCCCACUGGAUUCCCAGAGGAAGACCAGACCAAUCCACACCACCACUGGAUCUUCAAAGGAAAACUCCACCCUUCUACAGGAUCACUGCUUUAACAGAACCUCACCUGUCUCUCCAGGAGAACUGCAGCCACCAUUUAAUGGGAUUACUACCAACACCCUGACACACAGGGAGUCAGACCAUAUUCUGACUCUGCCAGUAUUGUUUUGUAUUACUGCAUUGUUUUUUGGGGUUUUUUUUCCUUCCUACUAAAGAAGUUAUUCCUUGUCCCAUAUCUUUGCCUUAGUGCCCCUUAAUUUCAAACUUAUAACAAUUCAGAGGGAGGGGGUUCACAUUUUCCAUUUCAGGGGAGGCCUCUGCCUUCCUUAGCAGACACCUGUCUUUUCAAACCCAGACAAACAUAAAUAUCCUUGUUGGCAGUGUUUGAUUGGCCAAUAAAUCCUUAAAAAGGUCUUGUAACUAGGAGUCUUGUGACCUUCUGAGCCUUGCGGUGGAGAUGUGAGCCAAACUCAUCCUUCCUGUCUAUGUAGAAGAAAAAGAAAUGGCAACAGCUAAAAAAUUCAGAGGUCUGGUCUCUAACUCGUUCCAAACUCCUUCAAGUCCCCCGAAGUGUGAUUUAGCUACAAAUAAAUGACAAGGACUCUUAUUGCUGGCUCUUUGACUCCAAACCAGCUGCUUCAGAAACUUUCACAUAACCCUGUGUAGUUAGGUGCCAGAAAUGUAUCAUUUGAAGAAACUUUCCCAACUGACUUGAAUAGAGGUUUGUUUGUAGGGUAUUUGAGGGGAAACCCUCCCAGCAGAGGUUUGGGCUUUGGCCUAGCUGUGUCCCUGCUGGCUGUGAAGUAUACCAUCAGCUGCAGGGGUUUCUGGGCUAAAAAUAUAAUUGAGUUGCGUUGAAUUGCUCUUUUGGGCCUAUAAAAGCUGGAUCCACUUUCAGGGCAAAUUUGGAAACCUCAUCUCUGGGUGAAUGGAUGACCUAGGAUUUUCCCAAUUGCUGGGAACGGUUCCCCAGGUCCUUGGUGUAAAAUGCAGCUCCCCAGCAAGUGCAGAUCUGCAAGAUGAUAAACAAUUUAGGCAAUUGGUAAUGUUUCUUUCAAAAUAGCUCUCUCUCUCUCUUAUAGUACUUAUUUAGGUGCACUAUCUUGCUUGUUUUUGCUUGUCACAAUAACCGAGCACACAUUUUUAUUGAAUGUAUCAUCUUACACUGUGGUUCCUUCUUAUUGACAGUAAAAUAAGGACAUUA